UGCCAGCCGCCGCGGUAAGACGGAGGGUGCAAGCGUUGUUCGGAAUUACUGGGCGUAAAGCGCGUGUAGGCGGCUAAGUAAGUCGGAUGUGAAAUCCCUCAGCUCAACUGAGGACGUGCAUCCGAUACUGCUUAGCUCGAGUACCGGAGAGGAAAGGGGAAUUCCCGGUGUAGAGGUGAAAUUCGUAGAUAUCGGGAGGAACACCAGUGGCGAAGGCGCCUUUCUGGACGGAUACUGACGCUGAGACGCGAAAGCAUGGGGAGCGAACAGGAUUAGAUA
rnacentral:rRNA from 1 species